rnacentral:rRNA from 1 species
UACGAGGGGGGCAAGCGUUGUUCGGAAUUAUUGGGCGUAAAGGGUGCGUAGGCGGUCUGAUAAGUCAUCUGUGAAAUCUAUGGGCUCAACCCAUAGUCUGCAGGCGAAACUGUCGGGCUUGAGUAUGGGAGAGGUGAGUGGAAUUUCCGGUGUAGCGGUGAAAUGCGUAGAUAUCGGAAGGAACACCUGUGGCGAAGGCGGCUAUCUGGGCUGAAACUGACGCUGAGGCGCGAAGGCUAGGGGAGCAAACAGG